rnacentral:rRNA from 1 species
CAAUAGCGUAUAUUAAAGUUGUUGCAGUUAAAAAGCUCGUAGUUGGGUUUCGGGGCAGCCUGGCUGGUCCGCCGCAAGGCGAGUACUGGUCAGCCGCCCUUCCUCUCGAAAGCCCCGACUGCUCUUCGUUGCAGUGGUCGGGUAGUUCGGGACGUUUACUUUGAAAAAAUUAGAGUGUUCAAGGCAGGCCUACGCCUGAAUACAUUAGCAUGGAAUAAUGGAAGAGGACCUCGGUCCUAUUUUGUUGGUUUCCAGGGCCGAAGUAAUGAUUAAGAGGGACAGUUGGGGGCAUUCGUAUUUAAUUGUCAGAGGUGAAAUUCUCGGAUUUAUGAAAGACGAACAACUGCGAAAGCAUUUGCCAAGGAUGUUUUCAUUAA